rnacentral:rRNA from 1 species
CAUGCAGGCGGUUUAAUAAGUCAGUGGUGAAAUCUGGUCGCUCAACGAUCAAACUGCCAUUGAUACUGUUAGACUUGAAUUACUGUGAAGUAACUAGAAUAUGUAGUGUAGCGGUGAAAUGCUUAGAUAUUACAUGGAAUACCAAUUGCGAAGGCAGGUUACUAACAGUGGAUUGACGCUGAUGGACGAAAGCGUGGGGAGCGAACAGGAUUAGAUACCCGCGUA